AGUGAACGCUGGCGGUAGGCCUAACACAUGCAAGUCGAACGGCAGCACAGUAAGAGCUUGCUCUUACGGGUGGCGAGUGGCGGACGGGUGAGGAAUACAUCGGAAUCUACUUUUUCGGGGGGGAUAACGUAGGGAAACUUACGCUAAUACCGCAUACGACCUACGGGUGAAAGCAGGGGAUCUUCGGACCUUGCGCGAUUGAAUGAGCCGAUGUCGGAUUAGCUAGUUGGCGGGGUAAAGGCCCACCAAGGCGACGAUCCGUAGCUGGUCUGAGAGGAUGAUCAGCCACACUGGAACUGAGACACGGUCCAGACUCCUACGGGAGGCAGCAGUGGGGAAUAUUGGACAAUGGGCGCAAGCCUGAUCCAGCCAUACCGCGUGGGUGAAGAAGGCCUUCGGGUUGUAAAGCCCUUUUGUUGGGAAAGAAAAGCAGCAGGUUAAUACCCCGCUGUUCUGACGGUACCCAAAGAAUAAGCCCCGGCUAACUUCGUG
rnacentral:rRNA from 1 species